CCCAACUAUCCCUAUUAAUCAUUACGGUGAUCCUAGAAACCAACAAAAUAGAAUCAUGCCGUCCUAUUUUAUUAUUCCAUGCUAAUGUAUUCAAGCAAAAUGCCUGCUUUAAACACUCUAAUUUUUUCAAAGUAAAGGUCCUGGUUCCCCGCGUCACCCAAUUAAGGACAGCGCGGUUCUCCAGAAGGUGAGAAAUUGACUACGCCAGUUCAUACCCCUUAGGGCACGACCGACGUGUCAAUCCCGAAAUUCAACUACGAGCUUUUUAACUGCAACAACUUUAAUAUACGCUAUUGGAGCUGGAAUUACCGCGGCUGCUAAUACCAGACUUGCCCUCCAA
rnacentral:misc_RNA from 1 species